AUGGACGCGCCAGCGGCCACGGUCCCAGACGAUGUCAUCCUGGAGAUCCUUGUACGCCUGGCUGAUGAGGCCUCACUCUUCCGCUGCGCGGCGACGUGCAAGCUGUGGAGGUGCCUCAUAGCCGACGCUUCCUUCCUCUGCCGUCGAUGGCCGGCCAACUCGCGCCACCCGUCCUCCCUCGUCGGGUUCCUCGCCAACAAAUGCCACAUCCAUCAGGGAAUCAUGGGGCUCCCCAUGGGAUCAGCCGCCGCCCAAACCUUCGUUCCAGUUCCAGGGCCGCAACCGGUGUUCGGCCGUGGCCGUCGAUCCCUCGGCUCCUUGCUCCCCCAAACCGGCAUCCUCUUCGACCGUGUGACACCGCUUGCCUCGCACGGCGGUCUCCUCCUGGUGCGCUUCGUCCCGACUCAUCAUGCCUCGCGCCCGACCGUCAUCCACCUUGCCAUGUGUAACCUGCUUGCCGGCACGUGUGAGGCGCUUCCCCCACUGGAGUACAAGUCGUCGACGAACCGAGCUGGAGCGCGCCCACCGCUUGCCUGGACCGUUGCUUGCCGGAGACGCACACGGCUUAUCUGCUGA
rnacentral:rRNA from 1 species